rnacentral:rRNA from 1 species
AUUGAACGCUGGCGGCAGGCCUAACACAUGCAAGUCGAGCGAGCGGCGGACGGGUGAGUAAUGUAUGGGGACUGCCCGAUAGAGGGGGAUAAAUACUGGAAACGGUAGCUAAUACCGCAUACUAUCGGAUAACCCAUAUGUGAUUAGCUAGUAGGUGAGGAAAUGGCUCACCUAGGCGACGAUCCCUAGUUGGUCUGAGAGGAGGACCAGUCACACGAGGACUGGUACACGGCCCAUACUCCUCCGGAGACAGCAGUGGGGAAUAUUACCCAAUGGGCGCAAUCCUGAUGCAGCCAUGCCGCGUGUAUGAAGAAGGCCCUAGGGUUGUAAAGUACUUUCAGUCGGGAGGCGGUACCGACAGAAGGAGCACCGGCUAACGCCAUGCCAGCAGCCGCGGUAAUAC